rnacentral:rRNA from 1 species
UACAGAGGUCUCAAGCGUUGUUCGGAUUCAUUGGGCGUAAAGAGCGUGUAGGCGGUCCGGUAAGUCCGCUGUGAAGGUCGGGGGCUCAACCCUCGAAUGCCGGUGGAUACUGUCGGGCUAGAGUGCGGAAGAGGCGAGUGGAAUUCCUGGUGUAGCGGUGAAAUGCGCAGAUAUCAGGAGGAACACCUAUUGCGAAGGCAGCUCGCUGGGACGUAACUGACGCUGAGACGCGAAAGCGUGGGGAGCAAACAGG